UCCCUGCUAGUCCAGUGGCUAAGACUCUGCUCUCCCAAUGCAGAGGGCCCAGGUUUAAUUCCUGGUCAGGGAG